UGCCGGAUCCUGUGCACUGGAGGAGGGCGAACCGAGUCAGAUGGGGAACCAAGCAGCUCUAAGCCACGAUUCCAGGUGCCGCAGGCCUUCUGGCAGUC
rnacentral:SRP_RNA from 1 species